UGCAUGCUUUUACAGUAUGAAAAUUGGUGAUUUAUAAUAACUUAGCAAAUCGCAUAGUGAAAACAGGCGAUAAAUCAUUCAAGUUUCUGACCUAUCAGCUUUCGACGGUAUGGUAUUGGCUUACCGUGGCAGUGACGGUUAACGGGGGAUUAGGGUUCGAUUCCGGAGAGGGAGCCUGAGAAACGGCUACCACAUCUAAGGAAGGCAGCAGGCGCGCAAAUUACCCAAUUCUAACAGUUUGAGAGAGGUAGUAACAAGAAAUAACAAUACAAGGCAGUUAAAAUGCUUUGUAAUUGGAAUGAUAGAAAUUUAAACCCUUUUUAAAGUAUCAAUUGGAGGGCAAGUCUGGUGCCAGCAGCCGCGGUAAUUCCAGCUCCAAUAGCGUAUAUUAAAAUUGUUGCAGUUAAAAAGCUCGUAGUUGAAGUUCUGCUAAAAGUAACCGGUCUGCUUUGAAUAAAAGUGGUAUCUUGGUAUGUAUUUAGCAAUGAUGUCCUUUGAAGUGUUUUUUACUUUAUUGUAAUAAAGCAUAUUCAGGACUUUUACUUUGAGAAAAUUAGAGUGUUUCUAGCAGGCCAACGCUUUGAAUACUGCA
rnacentral:rRNA from 1 species